rnacentral:rRNA from 1 species
AUUGAACGCUGGCGGAAUGCUUUACACAUGCAAGUCGAACGGUAGAGGGGGCAACCCCUUGAGAGUGGCGAACGGGUGAGUAAUAUAUCGGAACGUGCCCAGUCGUGGGGAUAACGUAGCGAAAGUUACGCUAAUACCGCAUACGAUCUAAGGAUGAAAGCGGGGGGAUCGCAAGACCUCGCGCGAUUGGAGCGGCCGAUAUCAGAUUAGGUAGUUGGUGAGGUAAAGGCUCACCAAGCCAACGAUCUGUAGCUGGUCUGAGAGGACGACCAGCCACACUGGAACUGAGACACGGUCCAGACUCCUACGGGAGGCAGCAGUGGGGAAUUUUGGACAAUGGACGCAAGUCUGAUCAGCCAUUCCGCGUGCAGGAUGAAGGCCCUCGGGUUGUAAACUGCUUUGUAC